AAAAUUUAGGCAAAUUUACAUGAGCGUCUUUCUACACCAUAGAUAGUGUAGAAAGAGGGAAUUGGAAACAGACCGCGACUGUUGGCCAGUCCAAGCUACACAGGAAGUUAAUUCACUCCACCGGAAGCUAAUAAUAGUUUCUUCACAGCACCUUGGGAUAUGAUGGCAGCACAGAUUACAGAGCAGACAGCACAUGAAACUUGAGAAGAGCUAGAGCUAAAGAGAAGUGAUGAGCAUCGAAUAGAAACACUCUACUGAGAUCGAGAGAAGCCACUAAGCCUCUGUUUGUGAAGACGAAGGAUUCAAGAUAUUUAGCAGUGCCAGCAUCAUGUAACUGCACUGACUUUAGCAACAAAGUUGUAGCUAUGAAUGGAUGAUUUACGAGGGAAAUACAAUUUAAUAGCUUGAUCACUUUAGCGUAUUGUGUAUUCACACUCUUAUACUCUUAGUAUUAUAGUUUAUUCGAUUCAUAAUUAUAAUUAUG